rnacentral:tmRNA from 1 species
GGGGGUGACUGGUUUCGACGGAGAAUUUCCUCUGUUGCGCGCAAGACGGUGAAUGCUGGAGAUCACCUUAAACCUCGAGCACUGAAACGUGCAAACGCUUCUAUAAAGAGCCCUUACAAUUUCGCUUUUGCGACUGCGUAAGUUCCCUCUUCCGUCCUCGCUUCGGCCGGGACGGCGCUAGGCUUCUGAUGUCUAAUAGGAAGACUCUAGUGCCAUAACAUCAGACUCUAUUCUUCUUUACUGCUCGUAGAAAAGAAUGAAAUUGAAGAGCUCGGAUAGGUGUCAUUUUGUUCGUUCUCUACCCACCUGUCUUAAACCUUGAAACGAACUAUGUCUUGUAGAAACGCUUCGGAGACCCUCUCUGUACGGGAGUUCGACUCUCCCCACCUCCACAA